rnacentral:rRNA from 1 species
GACGAACGCUGGCGGCGUGCCUAAUACAUGCAAGUCGAACGCAGUGGCGGACGGGUGAGUAACACGUUGGUAACCUGCCCUUCAGAGGGGGACAACAGUUGGAAACGACUGCUAAUACCGCAUACUGAAGGAGGGGAUUGCGUCUGAUUAGCUAGUUGGAGGGGUAACGGCCCACCAAGGCGAUGAGGAGUAGCCGGUCUGAGAGGGUGAUCGGCCACACUGGGACUGAGACACGGCCCAGAAGCCUACGGAGGCAGCAGUAGGGAAUCUUCGGCAAUGGACGAAAGUCUGACCGAGCAACGCCGCGUGAGUGAAGAAGGUUUUCGGAUCGUAAAACUCUGUUGUUAGAGAAGCGGUAUCUAACCAGAAAGCCACGGCUAACUACGUGCCAGCAGCCGCGGUAAUAC